GACAGAGAGACCAGGACCUUGGAACAAGUGCCCAAGAGGGUUGUUAGUGAGAUGGAAUACGAACAUAUACGUGAAAGGAGAACUGGCCAUGCCUAUGGUCAAUAAUUUAUCUCAGAGAUUCAUUCAGCCUCUCACCCAAUAUUUCCCUCCUGUCUAUUGAUUCCCCAUCAUUAUUUGUCAUAAGCUGUCCUAACUCAAGGAGAAAAUAUGCCCUGCUGGUCCAAGGGGAGUCAUACCUGGAGAAAUAGAAAGGAAUUUCAUUAAAAGCGAGUAAGAACUGCUGUGGCUAUGAGAAACUCCAAAGCAAGUUGCUAAGACUGUUGUCAGCAUCCUCAAGCAAGGAGUAAGAAGCUCAACAACAUCACCCAUGGACAUCACGAAAACUGGACCAAGAUCGCUCUGACUGCAGUUCAAGGGAAAUCAAAGGCCUUUCCUCCAUACGAUUCACACUCCCCAAAAUUGUGUGUAUGUGUGUAGCCAACCAUACAAACACAUAUAGACACGGAUUCUUUAUUUGUGUAGGUUCAGCUUCCACUUCAUCUUUCCAAAUCUUCCUUGAGGUCUAAUGUCCAGCUCCAAGCCUUCCAAGACAUGGAGAACACUGAAGUUGAAGAGGAUAUUUCUUAGAAACUAUUGCUCAUGGCGUGCUCCUUCCAGUCCUAUGGGGAGACCUAAAGAAAAGUAAGAAGUUGCCUCAGGUUCACAGAGUACUCAUAAGAAAUGGAGUAAUUUCAAGGAGCUCCCCGUCAGAUACCUCUUCCAAGUCUUGGGGAAACUGAACACUAGCAAGAAAUCUCCUUGGUACCAGAGAGCAAUCCUGCAGGUUGGAAGAAUUCUGAAGAAAAGCUGCCUUCCAGACCUCCUUUCCAGGCUUCAAAUAACCCUGAAGAUCAGCAACAGGUCUCUUCAAGUUGCCCAAGAGAGGAGGAGGCUUGAGGGCAAUCCUGGCUGGUGCCCUCCAAGAAGGUCAACCUCUCUAAAAAGUCAAGGCUAAGGCUCUGAAGUUCUCAUUAAGAGCAUUACAAUUCUUACCACCAAAUGGUGGAAUUUACCAUUUCUCCUCCCUGAUAAAAGAUCCAGUUCUAAGUUCUCUGACUCAAAGAUGGCGCACAACAGGAGAAAUUACUUAAGGCUCAUAAAGUCAAAGUUAUUUGAUAGAAUGACCAAAGAGAAUGCUACAUGUGACAUUAGUUCAAAUUAACUCUACCAAAGUUAUCAGAAAUUCUCAAGUGAGAAUUAAAAUACUAUCAGCUGUUCAAGUUCACCCACCAAUGGGGUUGGUGCUGAAACCACUUUCAGAGUCUGAGAAGAAUCCCUUCCUCGCAGAAGUGCAAAAAGGAGGAACAAGACGAUUCUAUCAGGCUUCCUUUGCUCCCCUUGUGCUCCAUUCGUCAUCCAUAGCUGCAGAAGGAUGCGUCUGAAGAAGAGCUGGGCAGGGGACUCUCAGGUACCACAAAGAAGCUCACCACUAUAUUUGAUUGGCAGCAAAGUAACUGGACUGUGCCAAAUCUAAAGUUUUAACCAAGUAGUAACCCACUUUCAAGAUCCCAGAAAAGGUUCCUAACCUUCAGGCUAAUCACGCCAUUCUAGAGUCAGUGGAUGACCAUAGUCAGGCAACCUUUGUUUUUAAAUUUUCAUGUUCCAAGUCAGACUCCUCCCAAUGUCUUACAAUCAAUAUUCAUGACCCUCUCCCUGCUUGGCUUAGGCUACUUCUAAUAGAAAGUGAUCAUCUCAGUUCUGUAUCCAUCCAAAUUUACCAAAUAUAUCUCCAGUUCUUCUUACUCCACAGUUACUUCUUAAGUCAGUGGUUCUUAAUCUUUUAGCAUUCACCAGAAUCAUUCAGAGCACUUGCUAAAAGACAGAUUGCUGGAUCUCACGCCCAGAGUUUCUGAUUUAUCAGGUCUAGUUUAAGGCCCAAGAAUUUGAACAUUACUAAUAAGUUCCCAGUGGAUGUUUGUACUUCUAGUUCAGGGACUACAUUUUGACAACUACUGCUUGAAACCAAUGCUGGACUCACCACUUCCUGCCUAAUAUGUUUUAUUAUUAUGGGUUAAAUGUUCCUUCAUUAUAUGGCCUAUGUAUCAUCUGCAACAGAAUCGUGCCCAUUUUAUAAAAAGAAAUAAGUGUAUUUUCUGCUCCCCACUCAACACCUACUGAAUUAAACUUCUAAAGAGGAGAGGGCCUCAAGAAUCUGAAUUUUUAACAGGUUUUCAUAACUGACUUUGAUAUACUAUGAAAUCUAAUAAUUACUGGUAAAUGCCUUACCUCUUGGCACAAAAUAUAUUGUUUUUAAAUUGUUAUUCCAAGUAUCAUAUCUCUUUGUCAUAUUUACAACUUUAUAAAGUAUUGCAUAGUAUAAGAUACUGUUUGAAAAUAUUUUAAUUCAAAUUGAUACACUUGUAAUAUUCUUGUUGUUAAUAAUAAUCAUAGAAAUAUAUUUUCCCCAAAAUAAGAUAAAUCCAUUGAGGUCAGUUUCUCUGUAUAUUUUUGUUUCCUCCAAGAGCUAAUAAAAACUGAACACAAAUUCAAACAACAUUGGCAUUUGUGAAAUAAAUAAAAACGUGUAGA